GUGCCAGCCGCCGCGGUAAUAGCCGCACCCCAAGUGGUAUCCAGUAUUAUUGGGUUUAAAGUGUUCGUAGCCGGCUGUGUAAGUCUGCUGUGAAAUCCACGCGCUCAACGUGUGGACAUGCAGCAGAUACUGCACAGCUAGGGACCGGACGGCGUUGAGGCUAUUCCAGGGGUAGGAGUGAAAUCCUAAAAUCCCUGGAGGAGCGCCAGUGGCGAAAGCGCUCAACGAGUACGGAUCCGACGGUGAGGAACGAAAGCUAGAGGAGCAAAGCGGAUUAGAAACCCUAGUAGUC
rnacentral:rRNA from 1 species